rnacentral:rRNA from 1 species
GGGGGCAAGCGUUGUUCGGAAUUACUGGGCGUAAAGGGCGCGUAGGCGGCUCGCUAAGUCGGGGGUGAAAACUCUGGGCUCAACCCAGAGCCUGCAUUCGAAACUGACGGGCUAGAGUUCUGGAGGGGAAAGCGGAAUUCCUGGUGUAGCAGUGAAAUGCGUAGAUAUCGAGAGGAACACCAGUGGCGAAGGCGGCUCACUGGACCGGAACUGACGCUGAGGCGCGAAAGCGUGGGGAGCAAACAGG